AACGAACGCUGGCGGCAUGCCUAACACAUGCAAGUCGAACGAGACCUUCGGGUCUAGUGGCGCACGGGUGCGUAACGCGUGGGAACCUGCCCUUAGGUUCGGAAUAACUCCCCGAAAGGGGUGCUAAUACCGGAUAAUGUCUUCGGACCAAAGAUUUAUCGCCUUUGGAUGGGCCCGCGUUGGAUUAGCUAGUUGGUAGGGUAAAAGCCUACCAAGGCGACGAUCCAUAGCUGGUCUGAGAGGAUGAUCAGCCACACUGGGACUGAGACACGGCCCAGACUCCUACGGGAGGCAGCAGUGGGGAAUAUUGGACAAUGGGCGAAAGCCUGAUACAGCAAGGCCGCGUGAGUGAUGAAGGCCUUAGGGUUGUAAAGCUCUUUUACCCGGGAUGAUAAUGACAGUACCGGGAGAAUAAGCGCCGGCUAACUCCGUG
rnacentral:rRNA from 1 species